rnacentral:rRNA from 1 species
GUGGGGAAUAUUGGACAAUGGGCGAAAGCCUGAUCCAGCCAUGCCGCGUGCAGGAAGACGCAUCUAUGGUGUGUAAACUGCUUUUGUACGGGAAGAAACACUCCCUCGUGAGGGAGCUUGACGGUACCGUAAGAAUAAGGAUCGGCUAACUCCGUGCCAGCAGCCGCGGUAAUACGGAGGAUCCAAGCGUUAUCCGGAAUCAUUGGGUUUAAAGGGUCCGUAGGCGGUUUAAUAAGUCAGUGGUGAAAGCCCAUCGCUCAACGAUGGAACGGCCAUUGAUACUGUUAGACUUGAAUUACAAGGAAGUAACUAGAAUAUGUAGUGUAGCGGUGAAAUGCUUAGAUAUUACAUGGAAUACCAAUUGCGAAGGCAGGUUACUACUUGUGGAUUGACGCUGAUGGACGAAAGCGUGGGGAGCGAACAGGAUUAGAUACCCUGGUAGUCC